rnacentral:rRNA from 1 species
UACGAAGGGGGCUAGCGUUGCUCGGAAUCACUGGGCGUAAAGGGUGCGUAGGCGGGUCUUAAGUCAGGGGUGAAAUCCUGGAGCUCAACUCCAGAACUGCCUUUGAUACUGAAGAUCUUGAGUUCGGGAGAGGUGAGUGGAACUGCGAGUGUAGAGGUGAAAUUCGUAGAUAUCGCAAGAACACCCAGUGGCGAAGGCGGCUCACUGGCCCGAUACUGACGCUGAGGCACGAAAGCGUGGG